AACGAACGCUGGCGGCAUGCCUAACACAUGCAAGUCGAACGAGACCUUCGGGUCUAGUGGCGCACGGGUGCGUAACGCGUGGGAACCUGCCCUUAGGUUCGGAAUAACUCCCCGAAAGGGGUGCUAAUACCGGAUAAUGUCUUCGGACCAAAGAUUUAUCGCCUUUGGAUGGGCCCGCGUUGGAUUAGCUAGUUGGUAGGGUAAAAGCCUACCAAGGCGACGAUCCAUAGCUGGUUUGAGAGGAUGAUCAGCCACACUGGGACUGAGACACGGCCCAGACUCCUACGGGAGGCAGGAGUGGGGAAUAUUGGAAAAUGGGCGGAAGGCUGAUCCAGCAAUGCCGCGUGAGUGAUGAAGGCAUUAGGGUUGUAAAGCUCUUUUAACCGGGAUGAUAAUGACAGUACCGGGAGAAUAAGCCCCGGCUAACUCCGUG
rnacentral:rRNA from 1 species